GACGAACGCUGGCGGCGUGCUUAACACAUGCAAGUCGAACGGAAAGGCCCUGCUUUUGUGGGGUGCUCGAGUGGCGAACGGGUGAGUAACACGUGAGUAACCUGCCCUUGACUUUGGGAUAACUUCAGGAAACUGGGGCUAAUACCGGAUAGGAGCUCCUGCUGCAUGGUGGGGGUUGGAAAGUUUCGGCGGUUGGGGAUGGACUCGCGGCUUAUCAGCUUGUUGGUGGGGUAGUGGCUUACCAAGGCUUUGACGGGUAGCCGGCCUGAGAGGGUGACCGGACAGAAGGGGACCAGGAAUCGGGCACAACCCCCAUGGGGAGCAGGCGGGGGGGAUUAAUCAAAAUCGGCGGGAAGCUUAUUGAGAGAGCGCGCAGGAGGGAGGGUGGGCCUAAGGUGCGUAACCGGCUUCUCCUUGUAUAAAAACUAGUUUACGGUAAUGGGUAAAGAAGCACCGGCUAACUACGUG
rnacentral:rRNA from 1 species